CAAAGGAUAGACAGCGCCCGCGGAGCUCGCUCCCGGGGCUACCCUACUCCCGUAGGGUUUAGAGUCGUCGGGCCUCUCGGAGAAGCUCGGUCCUGAACUCCACCCUUGAAUAAACUACCUUUGUUGCUUUGGCGGGCCGCCUCGUGCCAGCGGCUUCGGCUGUUGAGUGCCCGCCAGAGGACCCCAACUCUUGUUUUUAGUGAUGUCUGAGUACUAUAUAAUAGUUAAAACUUUCAACAACGGAUCUCUUGGUUCUGGCAUCGAUGAAGAACGCAGCGAAAUGCGAUAAGUAAUGUGAAUUGCAGAAUUCAGUGAAUCAUCGAAUCUUUGAACGCACAUUGCGCCCUCUGGUAUUCCGGGGGGCAUGCCUGUUCGAGCGUCAUUAUAACCACUCAAGCUCUCGCUUGGUAUUGGGGUUCGCGGUUUCGCGGCCCCUAAAAUCAGUGGCGGUGCCUGUCGGCUCUACGCGUAGUAAUACUCCUCGCGAUUGAGUCCGGUAGGUCUACUUGCCAGCAACCCCUAAUUUUUUUAAGGUUGACCUCGGAUCAGGUAGGGAUACCCGCUGAACUUAAGCAUAUCAA
rnacentral:rRNA from 2 species